UAGUCCACGCCGUAAACGAUGAGAACUAGAUGUUGGGGGAAUCUGUCCCUCGGUGUCGCAGCUAACGCGUUAAGUUCUCCGCCUGGGGAGUACGCCGGCAACGGUAAAACUCAAAGGAAUUGACGGGGACCCGCACAAGCGGUGGAGCAUGUGGUUUAAUUCGAUGCAACGCGAAGAACCUUACCUGCCCUUGACAUUGACAGAACCCUUAGGAGACUAAGGGGUGCUUCGGCCUGGAAAACAGGUGCUGCAUGGCUGUCGUCAGCUCGUGUCGUGAGGUGUUGGGUUAAGUCCCGCAACGAGCGCAACCCUUAUCCUUAGUUGCCAGCACGUAAUGGUGGGAACUCUAGGGAGACUGCCGGUGACAAACCGGAGGAAGGUGGGGACGACGUCAAGUCAUCAUGGCCCUUAUGGGCAGGGCUACACACGUGCUACAAUGGCGGAUACAGAGGGUUGCCAACCAGCAAUGGUGCGCUAAUCCCUUAAAGCCCGUCGUAGUCCGGAUCGGAGUCUGCAACUCGACUCCG
rnacentral:rRNA from 1 species